UCCCGUGGCGGUCGGGCCCUUGCGGUGCUGCGUUGAGAGUGAAGGGUCUCUGGGGGUGGUGACUCGCCUGUGUGAUUUCCCAACGCCUGUAUCCCCGAGGCCUUCUGGCCGGGAUCCCCACUUCGGACGCUGCGGCCCCGCCUGUCUCUUGCCGGUCCACCCCCUCCCCCAGGUCGGGAUUCGACCAUCUCCUGUCCCCCGCCUCCAGCUGGGUACGUCCGGGAGGCUCCCACUCUGCCCUAGAACCUCCAUCUGAUAGGUGACACACUCUCCAUCCAGGGGCACCCCAGGGGUCCGCGUGCUGUCCUCCGGGCGCAUUUACUGUCCCCUCGUCCUACGGUUAUUUACAGCCCGACUACUCUGUGCGCCAAGCCCUGUGCGACGUGGAGGAAGACAAUGGUGGACGAGGCAGAGCAGACCCAGCCCCUGCCUUUCCUGAGCUCACAGUGCAGUGGGAGAGUCGGGCCUGUCACCGUGACAGGUCGAGUCGUGGUCAGGCGGGGACGGAGGCACAGCAGUGGCUCUGCGAGCCCGCAGGAGGCUCCUGACCCAGCCCGGGGUCCAUGAAGCACAUCUGUCGCUGGUCUUCCAUCAUCAGAAGGUGACCCCCCACCCCCCAGGACUGGGUGACUGUAAAUCACCCAGGGGGAGAGAUGGUCCAGGAUGACUUUACGUCCUGGACCAUCCUGUGGCGGCCCCGGGCAGAAGGUGGUGGUACCCUCAGGAGACAGGAAACAGCUGGGCAAGAACAGGUUUGUGCCUGAGGAGCAGGGGCUUCCGGUCAGUUCCGGACUGGGAUCUGAGAGCAGGUCCAGCAGGGUUCCUGGGGGGAGAGCGGGGGAGGGGGACUUUGGAGGACCAGCCUGGUUUACAUCAUCAUGCAGAGUCACAAGGAGAAUGAGCUGGGUGGGACCUGAGGAGGACUCUGUGAAAGAGACUUGAGGAGACUCAGCAGAGAAAGAAAAAAACGAAACAGCACAGAGGACGGAUCAAGUAAAAAGAUGGACAGAAAGCAUUUUAAAAGGGCUUGUUUAGCUGGGACAGGUUUGCCUCAUGGUCACGGAGGAUGGAUCCUAAGGUCGGCCUGCUGAGCCCAGUGACAGGGAAGAGUGAGCUGGGCAGGGGGAGGAGCCCGUGCCAACACCUGGAGAUGGAAGUGUGCCCCGGGUGUGAGGAGAGGCCGGCCAGCGUGGCUGAGGGAGCGUGGGCCAUGAGGUCAGGAGAAAAGGGAGCCAGAGCGCCCCCUCGCCUGUCCGCCCCCGCCCCAGGACCCAGCCCAUGGCCGUGACCGACUUUGCACUGACUGUGCCAAGAGGGCAGUCAGUGCCAACGCCAGCUUCCUGGAGGAGUACCAGGUGUGCCUCGGCCGGCUGGGUGGCCAGCAGCGCGGCCUGCCCCUCUCCACUCACUCCCGGCCCCUCUCCCAGCUCCCGCUCCAGGCCAUCCCGGCGGAGGCUGGCUCUGGGGCGCCCCCUCCUGGCUGCAAGCUGGACAGCACGGCCUGUGAGUGCUGGGCUGCGGUGCGUGGGUGGGGGCCCUGUGGCCUAGCCGGGACCAUUGGCCGCCUCACCCUCCCGUCGUCCUCCCUCAGAUGACCGCUCAACAGCGUAGUUUUCUCUGGAAAACGAAGGGAGCCCCCCCUGAUGAGAUGCCCAAAGCCUGGCUCUUCCCCGCGUGACGGCCCCGUGGCCCCGGAGCUGGGUGGGCGGGGUCACUCAGUGUCCAGGGCCAAAGCGCUGUGCUCUGCAGGGCGGGCUUUUGGGCCACGACCACGUGGUGCUGAUGGGCGCCGCCCGGCCCCAGGAGCUCUGGCAGCUGGUGUGGGAGCACCGGGCCCAGGUGCUGGGCUCCCUGUGCCCCUCGGACACCCACGACGAGGACUUCUGGCCCACGGAGCUGCAGCCCAUUGUCACGGGCCCGGUGACAGCGCGCUGGGAGGCCGAGAGCGACGCAGCGGGCUGGCCCUGCACCCUGCUCAGGGUCACACAGGUGGGUGGGGGCCACGGGCAGUGGGACGUGCAGGGAAGGGUCCGUGCCUGCUCUGGCUCCGACGCUACAGCUCUGUCCCCAGGGGGACAGCGGGAAGGAGAGGCAG